rnacentral:misc_RNA from 1 species
GAUGAAGAACGUAGCAAAAUGCGAUACUUGGUGUGAAUUGCAGAAUUCCGUGAACCAUCGAGUUUUUGAACGCAAGUUGCGCCCGAAGCCUUUUGGCCGAGGGCACGUCUGCCUGGGCGUCACGCAUCGCGUCGCCCCCCACAAUUCUCCGUAAAAGGAACAUGUGUUUUGGGGGCGGAUAUUGGUCUCCCGUGCUCAUGGCGUGGUUGGCCGAAAUAGGAGUCCUUUCGAUGGACGCACGAACUAGUGGUGGUCGUAAAAACCCUCGUCUUUUGUUUCGUGCUGUUGCUCGCAAGGUAAACUCUUUAAAAACCCCAAUGUGUCGUCUCUUGACGACGCUUCGACCGCGACCCCAGGUCAGGCGGGACUACCCGCUGAGUUUAAGCAUAUCAAUAAGCGGAGGA